GGGCGCUUAGCUCAGUUGGUAGAGCAACUCAUUUACACUGAGAAGGUCGCAGGUUCAAGUCCUGCAGCGCCCACAA
rnacentral:tRNA from 1 species